UUCUCUCCCAGGACAGCAGUCGCUCCGGAUGGAUGCCGGCUGAGGCUCUUCUGGAAUUAAAGUACCUGGACCUAAGCCCAGCUGAUUUUAAACACUUGGCCAAGUUAAGCCCCACUGUUUUUCAACGCCGAAUGAAUACCUUCUCCCUGCUGCUGUUUUCCUGGGACAGAAAAUGAAAACUGAAUGAAUUGAACAAUAGGAUUUGUUUUGACUACGGAUAUUUUCAUGUACGCUGUGACUAAUAGCCUAAUUAUUUUCCUUUUUCUCUUGUCA